UGUGUCAGUAAUGUACCCUAUGACGAAGUCUACUGCAUUACACUUACACCACAUCAUCAGUAAAAAGUCAAUCAUAUCUCUCUAUUUAAGAGAAAAGUAAAAUAAAAUUUUUUUUUUAUUGAUCAUGAUAGGACAUAUCAAUUCAAAGGGAAUAAUUUUAUUAUUUGGGGACAUCAUGUUGACAAUAUACUCAUUUUAUUUUUUUCCCCUAGACACCCUCUAAUAAUAAAGUAAAGAUAAAAAACUACAAAACUCCUCUUAUGAACGAUUUUAAUUUGGUUAUGAAAUCUUUCAAAAUUUUAAUUUUAUUAUUUCAAUUUAUUUGAUUUGAGUUAGUUAAGCAUACUUUGACUUUAAGACAUAAGUUAACUUAUUUUUUAAAAAAAAUAUAAUUACUUAUAUACCCCUCAAAAUUUUUAAAAUAUUUUAUUUAUUCUUACUUUUUUUGUUUCAAAUAUACCAUUCGUAUUUCACUGUUAUUCAAAAUACUCUUGCUGUUAAUACUCGUUAAGUCAUCUCGGUAUAAACUUGAGUUAAAUUUCUACCGUAUAUAGUUAAAAAUAGCGAAAAUACCUAUCUUGUCCCUAACUUAAAGAGCUAUUAAGAAAGAUGGUGACAGUAGAAAGGUAUAUUUGAAAAAACGAAAAGUCAAAAUAUUUCUUUUGUCCCUAACUUAAAAACAAAUAAGAAAAGUUAGAGAUUAUAGAAGAAUGUAUAUUUGAAAGGGUUCCUAACAGUUCGCUAACAUAAUUUAACUUUAGGGGUAUAUAUAUUUGAAAAAAAUUGAAAUCUUAAAAAAUAUUUUAUUUUUAAUAUUAACCUUCUAAGAGAGAUAAAUAAGAAAGUCGAAAACUUCUCA
rnacentral:lncRNA from 1 species